AUCUAGGGCAGCAGGCGCGCAAAUUACCCAAUCUCAAUACGAGGAGGUAGUGACAAGCUAUAGUGACUCCACACCAUUCGGUGGGGAGGUAUUGUCUUCUGACGAUUUUCCAUGAUUUGGGUGUAGAUAACCCUUAGAGUAGCCAUUGGAGGAAAAGUCUGGUGCCAGCACCCGCGGUAAUUCCAGCUCCAAGAGCGUAUAUUAAUACUGCUGUAGUUAAAACGCCCGUAGUAUACCUAAGAGUGGGUGUGUAGUAAUUAGUUUUGCCAGAGGACGGUUGGCGAGAGUUUAUCACUCUUGUUUACCUACUUUUGGUAGACUUUAGUCGGGCUGGACCUUUGGUCCUCGUCUGACAGUUGCUACGUGCUUACUUACCACGGUUCAUCCGUGAGGCCCUUGGCUUGCAACUGUAAAUAAAUCGUUGUGCUUAAAGCGGGCUAUGAUACUCUGCCAGAGCGAUUUAGCAUGGGACUGCAGAGUAGCUGUAUUUGAGUGAAGGUUGCACCUCGGUGUGGCUGGAGCUUGGUACAGCGCUUGUAAUGGAGCUCAGGGUGAGGCCCCGGGUACCAUGAGGCUAGAGGUGAAAUUCUGAGACCCUCAUGUGACCAACUAAGGCGAAAGCUGUCGUGGGCCACCACAAGCUCGUCUAUCAGGGACGAAAGUUGGGGGAUCGAAGACGAUUAGAUACCGUCGUAGUCCCAGCUAUAAACGAUACCAACCGAGUAUUUGGGAAGACACUAUCCCAGCGAUCUUCUCAGAACUCAAGGGAAACCUUAGUCUUUGGGUUCUGGGGGGAGUAUAGUCGCAAGACCGAAACUUAAAGGAAUUGACGGAAAGGCACCACCAGGAGUGGAGUCUGCGGCUUAAUUCGACUCACACGGGGAAAC
rnacentral:rRNA from 1 species